rnacentral:misc_RNA from 1 species
GUAGGUCAAGUUUUGCCUACAACAGCGGUCCCCACCGACCGCUAGUGUCCCCACCGGGAUGCAACACGCUCAAUUUGCGGAAAGGCCCUUUCGAGGGAAAUCCGCAGCCAACCUCCUUACCCGGAGAUCGGUUCAGAGACUCGAUGAGCGUGGGUCUGGCCUCCGCCAGAUCUGAGAUAGAGCCCACCCCUGCUGGCAACUUCAGGGAAGCAAGUGGAACCUGCGGAAGGAUCAUUAAAGAAUAACAAGGCCUCCGGGCCCUAUUCUCACCCUUUGUAUACUUAACUUUGUUGCUUUGGCGGAAACGUCAGAGGACCGAAACCCUUGAAUCUCUGCUGUCUGAGUACUAUAUAAUAGUUAAAACUUUCAACAACGGAUCUCUUGGUUCUG